AAGAACAAGAACCCUAGGUGGAGGAUUUCAAGAGAAAAAGUGUGAAAAAUCAAGGAAAACAAGUGAAAAAGGUAGGAUUUCUCAAUUUAAACUCGAAAUCUAUUUUCCUUAAACGUUUUUCCUUAUUUUUCAUGGUUAAAUUUCAUGUUUUCAUGGUGAAUUCAUUUCUAGCCGAAUGGGUAUGGAGAGAGAAUGAUGUUGGAUUGAUUUGAUUUCAAGUUAUGUUAGUGUUUUUAGUUAGUUUACCAUGUCUAGAAGCAAAACAAUAAGAAAAGAAUUCAUUUUCCACAUCACCCAUCAAUGGCCGAACCUACCUUGUAUUGAGUGAGGAUGAAUUUGAUUUUUAUUUUAAGAGAAUUGGUUAGAAAAUGAUGAAUUAUGGUGUGGAAAAGUAGUAGGAAAAAUCACGAUGUUAAUGCUCCAUUAUUGACCAAAAAUUCUAAAAAGAAAAGUGAAGAUAGUUUUGCCAAAUUUUAGGUUAUUUGAUUUGUGUUUGGUGAAUUAACGUAUUAGAAAAGAAAUGGAGCAAUUUGGAGCUAAAUUGGACGCGUUGGCCAAUUAAUCGAGUGAUAAGAUGAAUUAGGCCAAUAUUGGGUUUAGAUGGUUACCCGUGCAUUUUGCAUUCCAUAUCAUCCAUUAGUAGUCUAAAUUAGUUUAAUUUUGAUUUAGUACCAACGUAGUAAGUUUCUUGAUUUGUACUAUGUCAAGGUGAUGAGUCCUCCGAUAAAGGCAAGGAAAUUGCAUCUGAGGACCAGUAGUCAGAGUACUUCAAAAAUUCGCACUCUAGACAUUGUGAGUAACCUUACUAUCGUCUUAAUUAUCUAAAGUGGUUUUUAUCCGAUUUUGUGAAUUUCAUGAAAAAUGAAUUAAAUGAUUGAUUUUUCGGUUUUAUAAACCAAAUGUGAUUUAAUGAAAUAAUUUCAUAAAAUUGUUUUAAAAUUGAAUAAUGGCUUUGAAAAUAGAGUAAUUGGAGGCCAUUUCAUGUGUUGUAAAUUCAUGGUUUGAAUCGAAUGGCUUAUGACAAUAUUUGCAUGAAUGGCUGAAUCGGUAUUUGUGUUGAAAUAUAUGAACUGUGUAUUUAGCCUUGAAAGGCUGUGAAUUACAAUAAUUGCCAUAUCAUGUAUUGAAUUAUAUUGAUUAGUGGGAUAAUUAUUAGCUUACUGCAGUGGACGGGUUUCCGUGGACCAGCCUAUUAAAGGGGCACGGUAAACCCCAUUAUAUCUUAC
rnacentral:lncRNA from 1 species